rnacentral:rRNA from 1 species
GAUGAACGCUGGCGGCGUGCCUAAUACAUGCAAGUCGAGCGAACAGACGAGGAGCUUGCUCCUCUGACGUUAGCGGCGGACGGGUGAGUAACACGUGGAUAACCUACCUAUAAGACUGGGAUAACUUCGGGAAACCGGAGCUAAUACCGGAUAACAUGUUGAACCGCAUGGUUCAACAGUGAAAGACGGUCUUGCUGUCACUUAUAGAUGGAUCCGCGCCGCAUUAGCUAGUUGGUAAGGUAACGGCUUACCAAGGCAACGAUGCGUAGCCGACCUGAGAGGGUGAUCGGCCACACUGGAACUGAGACACGGUCCAGACUCCUACGGGAGGCAGCAGUAGGGAAUCUUCCGCAAUGGGCGAAAGCCUGACGGAGCAACGCCGCGUGAGUGAUGAAGGUCUUCGGAUCGUAAAACUCUGUUAUUAGGGAAGAACAAAUGUGUAAGUAACUAUGCACGUCUCGACGGUACCUAAUCAGAAAGCCACGGCUAACUACGUG